rnacentral:misc_RNA from 1 species
GAUGAAGAACGUAGCGAAAUGCGAUAAGUAGUGUGAAUUGCAGAAUUCAGUGAAUCAUCGAAUCUUUGAACGCACAUUGCGCCCCUUGGUAUUCCAUGGGGCAUGCCUGUUCGAGCGUCAUUUGUACCUUCAAGCUUUGCUUGGUGUUGGGUGUUUGUCCAUUCUCUUGCAGAGGGACUCGCCUUAAAGUAAUUGGCAGCCAGUGUUUUGGUUUUGAAGCGCAGCACAAGUCGCGAUUCAAAGCUAUACGCCCGCUUCCACAAGCCUUUUUCACUUUUGACCUCGGAUCAGGUAGGGAUACCCGCUGAACUUAAGCAUAUCAAUAGCGGAGGA